rnacentral:rRNA from 1 species
GUGGGGAAUAUUGGACAAUGGGCGCAAGCCUGAUCCAGCCAUGCCGCGUGAGUGAUGAAGGCCCUAGGGUUGUAAAGCUCUUUCACCGAUGAAGAUAAUGACGGUAGUCGGAGAAGAAGCCCCGGCUAACUUCGUGCCAGCAGCCGCGGUAAUACGAAGGGGGCUAGCGUUGUUCGGAAUUACUGGGCGUAAAGCGCACGUAGGCGGAUAUUUAAGUCAGGGGUGAAAUCCCAGAGCUCAACUCUGGAACUGCAUUUGAUACUGGGUAUCUCGAGUAUGGAAGAUGUGAGUGGAAUUCCGAGUGUAGAGGUGAAAUUCGUAGAUAUUCGGAGGAACACCAGUGGCGAAGGCGGCUCACUGGUCCAUUACUGACGCUGAGGUGCGAAAGCGUGGAGAGCAAACAGGAUUAGAUACCCUUGUAGUCC